rnacentral:rRNA from 1 species
AGCUUUUUGUAAAUAUAAAAAGUAUUACCUGCCCAAUGAAUUAUUAAAUGGCCGCAGUAUUUUAACUGUGCAAAGGUAGCAUAAUCAUUUGCUUUAUAAAUUAAAGCUUGUAUGAAUGGUAGAAUGUAAAUAUAACUGUCUUUUAUUCAUAAAUAAAAUUUGUGUUUUCAGUGAAGACACUGAAAAUUUUUAGAAAGACGAGAAGACCCUAAUGAGUUUUAUAUAUUGUUUUACAAAUAAAUAUAAUAUAUUUUACUGGGGAGGUAAAAGAAUAUAUCUUCUUUUUUAAACUUAAAAUGAUAAUUAAUGAACCAUUAAUAAUGAAUAUAAGUGUAAAUUACCAUAGGGAUAACAGCAUAAUCUUUUUUAAGAGUACAUAUCGACAAAAAGGGUUGUGACCUCGAUGUUGGGUUAAGAAAAUUUUAAGAUGAAGAAAUUUUAAUAAUAAGUCUGUUCGACUUUUAAAAUCUUACA